AGAGAGAGAGAGAGAGAGAGAAGAUGUACUCAGCCUUCAUAAUCCACCUAAGCUCCCAAGCAAAAGGGCCCCAAAUAAUCAAGAUGGCCCCAGGAAAUAAUCACAGAAGAAAGCAAGUCUAAGAUGGACAAUGUGACCCUAAUACUUUCUUUUCAUGGAUUUAAUUAAACUGAUACCUUGUGUAAAUAUAUGUCACUCACUUCCCAAGUUUAGUGAACCAUCCUUCAUCAACUUCAUGCUUAGACUGUUAAAUCUUCCCCUGGAAUAAUGACGGGAAGCCUUCCUCCAAUCUGUUCCAGUUUUCAUCAUAGCAACAAACUCAUCAUAGCUGAUUUUCCCAUCCUUGUCUGUAUCCACUUCUUGGAAGAUGUCAUUUGCUACAUCUGUACAAUCAUCUGCACCGUCUUCCAUCAAGGCAUCUCGGAGCUCAUCUGGUUCAAUAUAACCAUUGCCAUCCUUGUCAAAGUAGGAAAAUGCCUUGCGAAGAUGCUCAUCAUUAGCCAUUCUUUGCAGAUGAAGGGAAACAGCAACAAAUUCCCCAUAAUCUAGUGUACCUUUCCCAUUAGCAUCUACAGCUUCAAUAAGCAUUUGAACUUCAGACUCUGCAAGCUGGGAGUUAAAAUUACGAAGUCCAGCUUUCAAUUCUUCAAUUGAAACAAUACCAUCAUUAUCUGUGUCCAUCUUCCUGAACAUCUCUUUGAUGUCUUCAACUUCUUCAAUGGACAAGAAAUCAGCAAUAACCCUAAGGGCUUUUCUUUUAAAUCUGUUCAUCAUUGAAAAUUGCUUAAGUCGAGACUUGACAACAUCACCAAGAGGAACAUUUGGAGCCUUUUUAGCAUUUUGGAGCCAUGGAUGCUCUGUAAAAGGAGUCCCAGAAAAAAAAAAUAUGUGAAACAUAGUUAGCAAUUAUCAUGCGAGUUCUAUAGCAACAAUUACAAAACCAUGAUACGUAGAGAACUUUGUUAGACCAAGCCUAGUACUAUUGUUUAUAUUUUCAGCUUCACAAAUUGAAUAGUUCAAAGUCCAUAGCACAAAAUAUUGCAUGGAAUUUGACUUGAUAUAAAAACUAUUCAAAAGGCAUGCCAGGAUUUUUUAACCCCAGUCCAUGCGCAGCAAGAGUAUUCAAGCAUAUCAUUUUUACCAAAUAUAACCAAAUACAAUAAAUUAGGCCAAUCCCGCAUCACCUGUUAGUUUUAGAUUAUUUUCUUCCAACAUAUAUAUUUAAACCUACAAUUGGAAUAAGAAGGGGUGGAAGAUUUCAGAUCAUAAUUCUUUUUCUUUCUUAAGGUUGCUAGCUCUCUCAUUGAGCUUACAAGGUUGCUAGCUCAGUAAAUGAGCUUUCAAGGUUAGAGCUCUCUCAUGGAGCUCACAUUUAGGCACAAUAGGUCAAAGAAAGAACAAGUCCAAGUCCCCAUCUGUUUACGAUCACCCUUUGACGCGAUCAAUAACUCAGGACCAUAUCAAUAUUGCAUUAUAUUUUUCCAUAAAAAAGGCAAUUAUUCCAUAAAUUUCAGAAGUUGAUUGGACAACUUUUACUUCUAAGAGACGUAAGGGCAGAUAGGUUUAUAAUUUUAAAAUGGAAAAUUGAAAAUAACAAUACAUACUUUGGUCCAUUUUUCAAAAUAAAACACUUUGCUCAUUCGAGUUUUAUAAACUUUGAUGCACAACAGACCAAAAUAACAUUUUUUUUUACUGAAACAAUAUCAUUUCAGAGCAAUAAUCAGCCAUAAGGGACCUAGGCAUUGAUUAUUAUAAAACUCAAGAAUAAAUGUGUUUGAUUUUGAAAAAGGGAAGACCAAAACACGUAUUAGACAAAUUUCUAUGUAAUUCUCAGCUUGCAUUAUAGGAUCAACUAGUAUCUUGUAAAUGUGAUAACUACAACAGUAAUAUUUUUUGAAGAAUGAAAACAUGUAAUCAUUUAAACAAAGCACCCCAAUCAAUUAAAGAAAAGGGAUAGAAAACCAAAACCAGCGUAUUUCCUUUCUUGACUCCAAUCAAUCUAAAAAUAUUGAAGACAUUUCAUUUAAUUGCAUCAAUAGCAAAAACGCUAUGAAACCCAAUGACAGAGGAACUAGAACAAUGACUUCAAGAUGAGACCACAAAGAAAGCUACGAGAACUUAUUGCUUUGUCUUGCUUUCUUAUUUCAAUUUCUCUACAACUAAUAGUUAGAAUUACCUUCCCCUAUGAAGUCUCUCCCACCCUCAAAGUGGGAUCUCUAUUGCUGGAGAUCCAUAUCACACGCCAUCAUCACUUGAAUCACUUAUCAUGAACAAGGACGCACAUCUUGAAUCAUAGUAUCAUGGAGAAUUAGGCAACAAUGAUCUCAAAUAUCUACCAAUACCAAAAUAUGUUGUCAAUUAUGAGCAAUUCCUUUUUCCAAAUUUUCAACUUGUCUAGAAACUAGUAUAGGGAAGAAAAUACUUGGCAUAAUAGCAAGAUAGCUCCUUCAUGAUUGGAAGGUCAUGAGUUAAGAGUCAUGGAAACAGUCUCUCUGCAUAAAACCAAUCAAAAGGCUGCAAACUAUAAACGGUUCAUCCUUACCUCACAACAAGAGGAGCAUUAAACAUCAGGUAGCAUUCCUAAAUCUAGUAACACAAGAAAGGGUUGAAUGUCUAUAAUACCCAUGUAAUCAUCUUAUGAUAGUGUUCCAAGAG
rnacentral:misc_RNA from 1 species